UCUGGUGUCAGCCGCCGCGGUAAAACCAGCACCUCAAGUGGUCAGGAUGAUUAUUGGGCCUAAAGCAUCCGUAGCUCGUUUUGUAAGUUUUCGGUUAAAUCCAUGCGCUCAACGUAUGGGCUGCCGGGAAUACUGCAUAACUAGGAAGUGGGAGAGGUAGACGGUACUCGGUAGGAAGGGGUAAAAUCCUUUGAUCUAUUGAUGACCACCUGUGGCGAAGGCGGUCUACCAGAACACGUUCGACGGUGAGGGAUGAAAGCUGGGGGAGCAAAUCGGAUUAGAUACCCGGGUAGUCCCAGCUGUAAACUAUGCAAACUCAGUGAUGCAUUGGCUUGUGGCCAAUGCAGUGCUGCAGGGAAGCCGUUAAGUUUGCCGCCUGGGAAGUACGUACGCAAGUAUGAAACUUAAAG
rnacentral:rRNA from 2 species